rnacentral:rRNA from 1 species
GACGAACGCUGGCGGCGUGCCUCAUACAUGCAAGUAGGACGCAGUUGCGAACGUGUGAGUAACGCGUAGGUAACUACCUAUUAGAGGGGGAUAACUAUUGGAAACGAUAUCUAAUACCGCAUACUAGUAGAUGGACCUGCGUUGUAUUAGCUAGUAGGUAGGGUAAUGGCCUACCUAGGCAACGAUACAUAGCCGACCUGACAGGGUGAUCGGCGACAGCGUGAGUGGGACACAGGGCCAGAGCGUUCGGGAGGGAGCAGGUGGGAAACUACGGGUACAGUGGGAAGCGUGAGCGCAGAACGACUCGUCAGUGACGAAGGUGGACGGCCCGUAAAGCUCUGUUGUUGAAGAAGCGGUACCGCUCCAGAGAGCGAAGGCUAACUACGUGCCAGCAGCCGCGGUAAUAC